UCCUGUGGCCAGCUCACUGGCUGUGCACUGUGCGAUUCUAAGUGCUACAGUCGUGAGCAGAUCAAUGGA
rnacentral:pre_miRNA from 1 species